rnacentral:rRNA from 1 species
GCCUGUAAGACUGGGAUAACUCCGGGAAACCGGGGCUAAUACCGGAUGCUUGAUUGAACCGCAUGGUUCAAUUAUAAAAGGUGGCUUUUAGCUACCACUUACAGAUGGACCCGCGGCGCAUUAGCUAGUUGGUGAGGUAACGGCUCACCAAGGCAACGAUGCGUAGCCGACCUGAGAGGGUGAUCGGCCACACUGGGACUGAGACACGGCCCAGACUCCUACGGGAGGCAGCAGUAGGGAAUCUUCCGCAAUGGACGAAAGUCUGACGGAGCAACGCCGCGUGAGUGAUGAAGGUUUUCGGAUCGUAAAACUCUGUUGUUAGGGAAGAACAAGUACCGUUCGAAUAGGGCGGUACCUUGACGGUACCUAACCAGAAAGCCACGGCUAACUACGUGCCAGCAGCCGCGGUAAUACGUAGGUGGCAAGCGUUGUCCGGAAUUAUUGGGCGUAAAGCGCGCGCAGGCGGUUUCUUAAGUCUGAUGUGAAAGCCCCCGGCUCAACCGGGGAGGGUCAUUGGAAACUGGGGAACUUGAGUGCAGAAGAGGAGAGUGGAAUUCCACGUGUAGCGGUGAAAUGCGUAGAGAUGUGGAGGAACACCAGUGGCGAAGGCGACUCUCUGGUCUGUAACUGACGCUGAGGCGCGAAAGCGUGGGGAGCGAACAGGAUUUAGAUACCCUGGUAGUCCACGCCGUAAACGAUGAGUGCUAAGUGUUAGAGGGUUUCCGCCCUUUAGUGCUGCAGCAAACGCAUUAAGCACUCCGCCUGGGGAGUACGGUCGCAGACUGAAACUCAAAGGGAAUUGACGGGGGCCCG